rnacentral:lncRNA from 1 species
GAGACUAUUAAGCGUACCUCUCAAACUAGAAUUAGGCAGACUUAUGUUGAUGACACUACCAGACUGGUCGCAACUGAUUCCGAACCAGUUGCAAGGGCUGUCUCCAGCCCAAGAAGACAGGAGAGACUGGCUUUGGUUGUCAAGACUGACUUUCCAUUCUAGAAGAGCUUCCGCUUCCUUCCUUCCAUUUGCUACUUCAGCAAAAGAAGCAAAGAAGGAAGCAUAAGCAAGUAAGGAAAAAACCAAAAAAGGUGUGGAAAAGAGAAAGAUGUGGGAAGCCAUGGCCUUGGUGGUUUAAUUUCUUAAAAAGGAUGUAUAAAAUGAUUUGCCCUGCAUACGUAUAUAUAUGGAAGCUAUAAGGUGGAUAUUUCCUUUAUGCAGGAGCAAAACUACAGGGAGGUCAGCUUGGUCAUAAAUAGGCAGAACAGUCAAGAGCAGAAAAAUACAUGCUGAUAUACAAUAGCAAGUGAUAACCUAAUUAUUCAGCCUAUGAAAUUUCUUUGAAUCAUCACAUCUUUCAAUUCUACCAUGGAAAAUGGCUUUGACAAUGUAAGCCAUUGAGUUAUGAAGUCCUGUUAAAUAAUAUUCGUUACCAAUAUAUCUUAAUAGAUUUACUGGACAACUACCUCCAGAGUCGUGUCACAAGAAGUGAUGAAGAUAAAUUCAACAUAGCUAAAAAAAACUGUACUUUUUAUAAAUAAAAUAUACCAAAUGGUAAAUGUAAGAUUUGUCCUAAUUUCAAAUUUGACACAUCUGCUUAUUAGAACCACAAACAAUUAAGGAAAAAACCAAAAAAGGUGUGGAAAAGAGAAAGAUGUGGGAAGCCAUGGCCUUGGUGGUUUACUU